ensembl:lncRNA
AAUCUUUAUUGCUCCCCGUUACAGCCAGGGAUUAAGCUGAGAUGGAAUGUAAUGGAACCUGCUCCAUCCUGUCACCUUAAAGAGGGGGAGAAGAGAGGAAUACACAGUGGUGCUUGUCAGGAAGAAAGGCCAUCGUCUUUUUUUGGGAAUCCUAGAGCAGUCUUCAUGGUUCAACAAUGACAGCGCUGACACUAGGAGAGCUCAUUUCAAAUGAUCCUGAAGGAGAGAGAGAGAGAGAGAGAAGGAGAGAGAGCUAAAGAAAUGAGGAAGGAGGAGGCGGAGGGAAAGCAGAUCAGAAUAUAUGCAGGUGCCUUAGCAAGAGCCAUGAUUAUAUGGCUAAUUCAUCACAUGGCUUAUCUAGAGCCAUCGUGCAGGUGGAUGCUGAGCCGAGGAGCCAAGACUGGGGCAGGACCAAUGCAAGACAUUUCAGUUGCCUUCAAUCGUAGCAGGGAUCCACUGGCCUUCUUGACAGAUUGAUAAAGUCAGC